rnacentral:lncRNA from 1 species
GGAAGGAAAAAUCCUACAUCACAUGGAAAAUGAACAAUAUGUUACUGAAUGAUCAAUGGGUUACAGAAGACAUAAAGGAGGAAAUCAAAAAAUUCUUAGAGAUAAAUGAAAAUACAGACACAACAUAUUGGAAUCUAUGGGACACAAUGAAAGCAGUUUUAAGAGGGAAAUUCAUCACCUGGAGGUCAUUCCUCAAAAAAAGGAAAAACCAACAAAUAAAUGAGCUCACACUUCAUCUCAAAGCCCUAGAAAAGGAAGAGCAAAACAACAGCAAAUGUAGCAGAAGGCAAGAAAUAAUUAAAAUCAGAGCGGAAAUCAACGAAAUUGAAACAAAAGAAACUAUUGAAAAAAUUAACAAAACUAAAAGUUGGUUCUUUGAAAAAAUAAAUAAGAUUGACAGACCCUUAGCCAUG